UUAUACAAAUGUUAAAAAGUUUUAUUAAUCCAUUCAUUUUAAUAGUCGGUAGAUACUACAAUAUUUAAGAAUGUAGCGACUGAUCACCCGCCACCCCGUGUACAAAUAAUGAAAGCAUCCAAUUCAAAACGCGAGGUUUUUGUGUAGUGUGUAUAACCAACUACGGCUGCAGAAUAUACAGAGUCUCUGGUGUUGAUGGAAAGGAUUGUUUACCUAGAGGCAGCUUGGUAUGACAUGUUGCAAAGCAUUCUGUUUGAUUAACAGAUAAUAGAUACUGCAGACACUAAGCAAAUUAUACUUACCUAGCAGUUGCAGUAUUCCAGCCAUGGAGUCAUAAUCUUAGAAUAAAGGUCUCGGUGUUUAGGUGAAUCUGAGGAAAGUCCAAAAUAUUGCAACUGUUCCAGUUGUUAAAAUUGUAAGCAAAGACGUAUGCUGGCUUUAACACAUCAACAAGACAACAAAACACUCAUUUCAUAUGCUGGCUCCAGUGAUGUUAAUUCAGCUGCAGAUACUUCUGUUCUCAAAUAUGUAUCAACAGUACCUGUGUCAGAUGUACUGGCAAACAUGUUAUAUCUUCAUUUUUGUCGAGCCCGCUUGCGGAAGCAAAGAUAGAUGUCCAAAUGGCUGUUCUGUGUAUGUGCGUGUGUGUGUCCGUCCGUC
rnacentral:lncRNA from 1 species